rnacentral:rRNA from 1 species
AGUGGCGGACGGGUGAGUAACGCGUGGGUAACCUGCCUCAUACAGGGGGAUAACAGUUAGAAAUGACUGCUAAUACCGCAUAAGACCACAGCACCGCAUGGUGCAGGGGUAAAAACUCCGGUGGUAUGAGAUGGACCCGCGUCUGAUUAGGUAGUUGGUGGGGUAACGGCCUACCAAGCCGACGAUCAGUAGCCGACCUGAGAAGGUGACCGGCCACAUUGGGACUGAGACACGGCCCAA